AUUGAACGCUGGCGGCAGGCCUAACACAUGCAAGUCGAACGAGUGGCGGACGGGUGAUUAAUGUCUGGGAAACUGCCCGAUGGAGGGGGAUAACUACUGGAAACGGUAGCUAAUACCGCAUACCAUCGGAUGUGCCCAGAUGGGAUUAGCUAGUAGGUGGGGUAAAGGCUCACCUAGGCGACGAUCCCUAGCUGGUCUGAGAGGAUGACCAGCCACACUGGAACUGAGACACGGGCCAGACGCCUACGGGAGGCAGCAGUGGGGAAUAUUGCACAAUGGGAGCAAGCCGGAUGAAGCCAUGCCGCGUGUAUGAAGAAGGCAUGCGGGUUGUAAAGUACUUUCAGCGGGGAGGCGUUACCCGCAGAAGAAGAACCGGCUAACUCCGUGCCAGCAGCCGCGGUAAUAC
rnacentral:rRNA from 1 species